rnacentral:lncRNA from 1 species
CUACUGCAGGUUUUUGAACAUAUUAAUAUUUAUUUAGCCCAGGAUUCAUCCCACCCUACAUUUGCCUGAGGUGUCUGACUCUGGAGCACAGACAUCCUCGGGCUCCCUCUGUUGAUGAUGCAGCGAAGCACCUGCAGAAGGUGACCCAGCUCUCAGGAAAGACAUUUGAGCUAUGCAGAGAACUUGCAGCCAAAUUCCCCUGGGAGCACAGUGCAUGGACUUGGGUGUUCAAAAUGAAUAGGACACUCUGGAGAGCUUUCAGAUGGGACACUCCCAGCUUCCUCCAGAAACUGCACUUGCAACAAGUUCAACUCCUGGUCAGCACCAAAAAUCCACAAAGAAUAUCAAGUUGUUCAGGGUCCCAGCUGCAAAAGCCAAGGACUAGCAAUAUUUAGUGAUUACAUUAGUUUCCUUUCCAUAGGAAAUAAUUGAUUUAUCUGUUAAAAGGAGUGUGUUUCAUACAGAGCAGGCAGCAUGAUGUACUGGCCAUAUUAAUGAUAAAGGAUUUCUC